GCCCCCUCCCCGGCACCUUUGGGGGCGGCUCUCAUCACGAGGGCGUUUUCCUUACAACCAGCCCUCACUGAAUGCCCUGAAUGCCCGCUCUGCAUCGGGCUCUGGGCUGACCCAACAGGAGGCCAACAGCUGCUUCUGUGGCCGUCCUGAGUCUUCUCCAGGCUGAAGCCCUCCAGAUCCUUCAGGAGCCUCUGACAACGCCAGCAAGAGCCUCCCUCCUCCCAACCUUGCCAGCUCCUCCACUGUAGGAAACUGAAGCCUCCUGGUCCAAAGCCGGAUGGUCCCGGUCCAAAGCCAGAGGCUCAGAACGUGCCUCAAGGAGGCCACGGCUGAGAGCAGAUGUUUGGAGGGCUCUGUGUGGGCGGCCGCAAAGGAAGGAGGGAGGAGCCUGGCAUUCCGAGGUCACAGAUGGUGAACCAGAACUUUGGAGAGGCCACCCAAUUCAGUCUUGUCACUUCAGCUAAGGAAACUGAGACCAGGGAGACGGAGCCACUUGCUGCUAAUGGUCACUCACAUGGUGAAAGCUAAGGCCAGUCCUGGAAUCCAGGGCUUUGGCCUUCUAAUUAGGGCUCUCACCACGGCCCGACCCUAGCACUCUUCUCGGAGGAUCAUAGACAUCGCGUUGGAAGGGCCUUGAGCGGCCAUCGAGCCCAGCCUCCUCGUUUUACAGGUAGGGGCCCCAGGCACCCAGCUCUGAUCUGUCCCAUCCCAGGUCAGGCUAGUAGCAGUAGCCAGUGGCUGCGGACCUUGGUCUCAGGAGGCCCGGGUUUGAGUGCCGGUCCUGCCAGGCCCUAGAGGAGGGGCCUUGAGGAAGGUCUCUUACCUCUAAAAUGGAGCUAAUGCUGGGGAAAUGCCCUCCCAGGCGCCUGGGAAGGACAUCUGUGAAUCUUGCAGCCCCACAGAAAUCUGAUGAGAGCCUUCCGGUUCCUUUCAUUGGCAUUCGGGCCACAGAAGAGUUUCUUGAAUAAGAAAAGGGGCAGGACUUGAAGAGCAGAGAGGAGAGAGCCUGCCUGAGACAAGGGUGGCCAGUGUAGAACGGGAGGGUGCUGGCCGGGGGAGGAUGUCUGCAGAGUUCCUUUCCUGCCGGCAGAGCAGGGGCCGGCCACGUCCUGGGGGAGCCAUCCUGCCUGCUCUCUGGGGAAGCUUCGGGCAAUGACUCCCUAGGAAAUACUGAUCAGAGGUCCUACGGCCAAGGGGACUCGGGUCAUGGAAGCACCCUUUUAGAGCUGCAGGGAAUGGAGAGCUCGUCCAGUCCAAACUUUAGAAGACAGAGACUCAGACUGAUAUUCCUCGGAUCUCACAGUCAAGAAAUGGCUGAGGUGUGUAAACCUUAAAAUUUCUUAGACUUAUAAAUGUUGGAAAUUUCACCAUUGGGAAAUUUCAUACUUGGAAAAUUUCUUACUGAUAGUCUAUUGGAAUGGGAACCCCAUUGGCAUGGGAGGUUCCUUCUCCUCCCUACUUAAGAUUACUUUAGGACAGAAACCUUUUGCUGAACAAUGGAAAGGGCUUUGACCUAUGCUUAAGCAUA
rnacentral:lncRNA from 1 species